CGCAGCCCUGAGAAAAGCCCCCAGCUAGCCGUCCUCAGCAGGUAACGCCUCCAGGUACCGACAGACCCCGCCCCCCAAAGCCGAGCAGCAAUGAGUUGGUCAAGAUAGGUUCUGAUGCCAAAUUGAUAUUCAGAACAUCUGUUAUACAAGGGAUUCACACAGAUCACAACUCACUGAUGCUUUGGAACAUCCCUUCAUGAAGGCAUUGGUGUUUGAAUGGAGAAUGGAUUGGAGUGGGUUGGGAUUUGAAGCAGGCAAACCAACAAGAGACUAAAGUAAUAAUCCAGGCAGUCAACAGAGACUGGAUAAGUAGAUUUCAGAAUCAUCAACCCAGAAAUCAUAAUUGAAUCCAUGGAACUUCACCAAGAAACAUAGCACAGAGGGAAGAUAGAAGAGGGCUCAGAACAGGAGCCCUGUUGGACACCUCUGUUAGCAUCAUCUGGAUAUGUAAUAGAAGAAUCAGAUGAGAGUAGUGUCCUGAAAACUUAGCAUAAAGUGGAAAGUCCAUAGUCAAAUAUCACCUUAUCUCUCCUUUUUUUGGAAGCCUGAGGUCAAGAAGUGCAGCAGGAAGUGGUCACAAUUUGUGAACAGGUAGUUUUGAACAGAAGAAACUCAAGCUGAAUCAUGAACCAAGCACAACCAUUAAAAAAAUAUGCUUCAAAUCA